rnacentral:misc_RNA from 1 species
UGGCUCUCGCAUCGAUGAAGAACGCAGCGAAAUGCGAUAAGUAAUGUGAAUUGCAGAAUUCAGUGAAUCAUCGAAUCUUUGAACGCACCUUGCGCCUUUUGGUAUUCCGAAAGGCAUGCCUGUUUGAGUGUCAUGAAAUCUCAAUCCCUCUGGUUUUCUAACCGGCUGGAUUGGACUUGGGCGUCUUGCCAGCAAUGGCUCGCCUCAAAUGACUUAGUGGAACACCCCACAUCAGUGUUAGACGUAAUAAGUUUCGUCUCUCCUUGUGGUGGUGACUGCUUAGAACCUGCCAUCGCGCACUCUUUUGACUUUGACCUCAAAUCAGGUAGGGCUACCCGCUGA